GUCACAAGGAACAGAAAGAGGUUGAAGAAGAGCAGGGUCUGGAGGAAGAGGAAGUAUGAGAGGACUCCAGAGCCGAAUCGACCGCUCACUCUCUUGAGUGCUACUUGCCACAGCUGGAGGGAGUGCAGGAAGGACAGCCAGCUGUACCAACUCUGCCUCACAGCCUGGGAGGAGAAAGAAGAAAAUAACUUUUUUCAAUAUCCUGCCUGGUGACAUGAUGUAAAAAGGACGAUGCGGAUGUGGUGGACGAAGCAACAGGAUCCGACGGCAAGUUUUACAAAGUCUUCACAGAAUCGAUGUGUGAGGGGUAAAUAGAAUACUUGAAGCAGCUUCACAAUGUGCACAACGAUUGUUCACCAGUGGAGUGAUACAAAUAUCAGCCUGUCUGCUGGCUGGGAAUUUUCCCGAAUAUUACCUUUUGCAUUAUCACAACAGCUCAACCCAACUUCAAACAGAAUCAUUACAAGGGAACUGAUAGGAAACAUUCAGGCUAAAGUUAGGGUGAAACAAUUGUCUGUUUACUGUGAGCUCACACAUGUUGCUCACCCUAAAAAUGGCCCAAAAUGUCCAAAUCACAACCGGUGGGAACCAGAAUGAAAGAAAGAUGCAAAAAUUGUGCCAGGCUAGACUCAAACACUCAUUGUUUCUUCUCACAUGGCUUAUUAGUUUACGUUAAUGCUGUUCAGAAAUGUCUGAAAUAUAGACUUAUAAUCAAACAAAACAUUUUGUUAUCUACUGAAAUAUAUAAAGAAUCAAAAUGCAAAAAGAAAAAACAAGCUGACAUCAAGUUAACAUGAAAACUGCUUUUACAAAGCAGCAGAGAGGAAGUACUGAAAGAUAAACAGUAGUCUCUCACUUAUGCUUACCAUGUUGAAAGCUCAACCAGCAGAUAUAUUUAUCAUGUGGCACAGAAAAGGGGAUCGACGACAGAUAUCUUCAACUACACGUUGCAGCAGAUGACCUGCCACAGACGGAAGGCUCCAUACAGACUGCUUCUCCAUGAAACUCUGCUCAGCUGAAACAGCCUGUUUUUUUUUUCUCUACCGUCCGCAGCUCCACGCUAGAAGCAACUGAAUCAAGCCAUGCUAACACAGAAGCUAAGUUUGUUGGUUAAGUGAUGUAAUAAAAUACACUUUUAACUAGAUCAACUCUAUAAGGCACAUACAGAUCCUAUAAGUUUCAAAUGUAGGGAAACUAAACUUCUUGUUCCAUUGUUAUCCUAGGCUUGAAAUGGGUUUAAAACACACCAUGGUAGGAAAAAGUUUACUCAACCCACCAGGAUCUUGAAAUAUUUCGGUGAUUGAUCGGCAUUGACCAAUUCAACUACCUAGCCUUACAGUACACCUAUGCUAUGGUCUGUACAAUUAGGUCUUGUCACUGCUGCAGUGUCAGGAAGGAAGUCAGCUGACAAGAAUUUUAACCAACAGUUUCAGGGCUUCAUUUGAAAGGUAUUUAAAAAAAAAACAGUUAAAUAAAAAAGAAAAGCAAUCAAAACAUUUUAUUAAAUAUCCAACUAUAAGCCAAGUACUGCGAUUAACUCCUCUUUUUAAUUGGCCACAAGUCCUGCUCACGUACUGUAGCAGAGGUCAAAAUGCUCCAGCAACACAGUAGUAAGAAGAUUAACUUUAUUAACAAGUUAGACCGAUGCGUUUCGGCUCAUGGCCAUCAUCAGGGUCAUCCUUACUUAUUGUAGGACUCUUACCAAGACAAAGAGUGUCGCCUAAUGAAGCCCCACAACUCAAUGUUUAAUUUCUCUGACGUUGCAAGAAGCAUCAGCAGGCUACAGUUCCACCAACUCUGUGUAUGUACUGCUGGUCGCUAUGCAGGACUCACCGAUGGUGCGACUUGGCAUAGAGGACAGGACCCUCAAGGUGGCCGAGGACCAGCGUUCACCUAUGAGGGGGUCUACCUGUCUUUCAUCUUCCUCCCAUUCCACAUCCUUCGUCCCCGAAUCCUCCCCCUAAACUCAGGGCCCGGGCUCGACAGGUAGGCCACAUCGUCUGUGGAAAAAACAAAACGUUGUUAACAUUAAUACUGCUGUAAAAGAAGAAAAAAACACAUCAGUAUUGGUAAUAUGUACUUUUUUUUCACUUUUAUGGCCAAAAAAUAACAAUGCAAUAAUUUCAAUAAAACCGGAAUAAUGUGAAUAAAAAAAAAAGUAUUUUAUCAUGAAGUUAAUAUAGUUUAUUCCCAUAAUAACUAGUUCAUAUUCAAAUGCAUUACUCCACAUGCUGGGAUCAUCUAUGUCCCCUCAAACACAGAUUACCUCGACCCUCCUCAUCCAGUUCUCUCUGCAGCUGCUGCAGCUCGAUGGCGUCGGGCUGUCCUCCAUUCUGACUCUGCUCUGCUAUCAGCUGGGUGAACGAGUCAUGAACCCCUUCUUCAUCUAUUGGACUCCUGGCAGAGGGACACAUAAACAUAACAACAAGUCAAUACUCCAAUCAAAUACAGAAAUGUUUUAACCCCCAGGAGAAUGACUUGUUUCCUCACAUCUACAAUAAAAGCCUACACACUAAUAGUUUAUGCUAUGGUUGUCAAUAGAAACAAUCUUAUUAGAGAAACAAAGAAAAGGAGAUUUCAGGUACAUUUUCACAUGACAAUUGCAACAAUUGCUAAGCAUGCAGUAACAUAAGUCAAAGGUAGCAUGAUGUUGACGAUCAAGUGUUU